UACGGAGGGUGCGAGCGUUGUCCGGAAUCACUGGGCGUAAAGGGCGCGUAGGCGGCCUUCUAAGUCGAACGUGAAAUCCCCGGGCUCAACCCGGGAACUGCGUCCGAUACUGGGAGGCUUGAAUCCGGGAGAGGGAUGUGGAAUUCCAGGUGUAGCGGUGAAAUGCGUAGAUAUCUGGAGGAACACCGGUGGCGAAGGCGGGUCUCUGGGCCGAUAUUGACGCUGAGGAGCGAAAGCGUGGGGAGCAAACAGG
rnacentral:rRNA from 1 species